AAUAAUAUGGCUGAGUUUAGGCGGUAAAUUGUAAAUUUACUUAAGAGUAAAAUCUAUUAUUA
rnacentral:tRNA from 1 species